GAUGAACGCUGGCGGCGUGCCUAAUACAUGCAAGUCGAGCGAAUGGAUUAAGAGCUUGCUCUUAUGAAGUUAGCGGCGGACGGGUGAGUAACACGUGGGUAACCUGCCCAUAAGACUGGGAUAACUCCGGGAAACCGGGGCUAAUACCGGAUAACAUUUUGAACCGCAUGGUUCGAAAUUGAAAGGCGGCUUCGGCUGUCACUUAUGGAUGGACCCGCGUCGCAUUAGCUAGUUGGUGAGGUAACGGCUCACCAAGGCAACGAUGCGUAGCCGACCUGAGAGGGUGAUCGGCCAGACUGGGACUGAAACACGGCUCAGACUCCUACGGGAGGCAGCAGUAGGGAAUCUUCCGCAAUGGACGAAAGUCUGACGGAGCAACGCCGCGUGAGUGAUGAAGGCUUUCGGGUCGUAAAACUCUGUUGUUAGGGAAGAACAAGUGCUAGUUGAAUAAGCUGGCACCUUGACGGUACCUAACCAGAAAGCCACGGCUAACUACGUGCCAGCCGCCGCGGUAA
rnacentral:rRNA from 1 species